rnacentral:rRNA from 1 species
GACGAACGCUGGCGGCGUGCUUAACACAUGCAAGUCGAACGGAAAGGCCCUGCUUUUGUGGGGUGCUCGAGUGUCGAACGGGUGAGUAACACGUGAGUAACCUGCCCUUGACUUUGGGAUAACUUCAGGAAACUGGGGCUAAUACCGGAUAGGAGCUCCUGCUGCAUGGUGGGGGUUGGAAAGUUUCGGCGGUUGGGGAUGGACUCGCGGCUUAUCAGCUUGUUGGUGGGGUAGUGGCUUACCAAGGCUUUGACGGGUAGCCGGCCUGAGAGGGUGACCGGCCACAGUGGGACUGAGAUACGGCCCAGACUCCUACGGGAGGCAGCAGUGGGGAAUAUUGCACAAUGGGCGGAAGCCGGAUGCAGCAACGCCGCGUGCGGGAUGACGGCCUUCGGGGUGUAAACCGCUUUCGCCUGUGACGAAGCGUGAGUGACGGUAAUGGGUAAAGAAGCACCGGCUAACUACGUG